GCUUGUUUCUGUUUUUCUUCUCUCUCUCUCUGUGUGUGUGGACUCCACAACCACCCAGAGAAGCUUUGUUGUUUUUUUUCCCCCUUCUUCUCUUCUCUGUAUCGUUUCGAGUGAGGAGUGGGAAAGAAAAGAGAGUUCCCCCCCCUUAAAAACAAACAAAAAACAACAACAAUUCACCAAGG
rnacentral:ribozyme from 1 species